CUCUCUCAAACCUUUCCUCCCCCUCUCUCAAAGCGAGCAGAAGACUCCCUCAGAAGACUAAGGAUGAGGAAGUGUUUGGAUUAGUGUAUAAAAGAUGGCUUGGCUUGCAGAGCACCGAGAGGAAGAAGCUCUCUGCUCGAGCAUGACCACACAUGCUCCGGAAGAUGGCGGCUCGAUUCACUCGCCUCCAUCCCCUGGAUCUCUCUCAGUCUGUUUGUCGCUCUUUCUACCCGGGCGUCACCGAUUCCGAUCUCUCUGUCAUAGCUACUUCCUUCACUUGCUCGCGCUCUCUCAAUCUUCAGAAUUGCAAAGGUCACUGAAACACAAUCCCACAUUGUGUUUCCUGUUACAAAUUUUGCCAAUAAUUUGGAUUUGGGUUAAUUAGGGAUCUGGUAAAAUGUUUAAAAUUUCAAUUUGAAACACAAUCCCACAUUGUGUUUGGAGGCUCAUUUCAUGCUAUGGAAUUGUGCUAUGGAAUUGGAAUUUUGGUACAAAACUAGUUUAGAAUUUGAAUUGGCAUGAACACCGGCAUUUUCUUAUUUAAUAUCCAAUUUGUGUUCUGGGUUUCUUUACAGCGAGUUUUAGUCGAGUCAAACUUUGAACUUAAUGUGUGAGCUUUAGUCCAAUUUGUGUUCUGUUGCUGAGGGUUGUGCCAGCUUGAAGAGGUUGCAUCUUUCUGGUUGCAGAUUUGUUACGGAUGCACUAUUAGGAGCUCUUUCUAGAAACACUCAUAAUUUAGAAGAGUUGGGUUUGCAAGGCUGCACCAACAUAACUGACUCUGGACUUGUCGUUCUUGUUGAUGGGUGUCAACGGAUGAAGUAUUUAGGCAUCAACAAGUGCAACAAUGUUGGAGAUAAUGGAAUAUCCGGUAUAUCAAAAGCAUGCUCAGCUUCUCUGAAGAUCCUGCGGAUGGAUUGGUGUUUGAAUGUUUCCGACUCUUCAUUGAACUGCAUCCUCUCUCACUGGCUGCUGCCUGUAAUGUCAAUCCUCUCUCACUGCAUCCUCUCUUAUUUAGUCGAUAAAGUCAUUGGGGCUGAUACGGCAGUUUGGCUUGCCCUGCUUCCGGACCAGUUUGUGACUGGAAAAUUUUUCGCAUAAAGGCGUGAGAUUAAUUUCUGAAGGGGUUGCCUAGUUAAUUCAACUGCUAAAUGUGAGCAAACACAACUGUGGCACUUUGGGAUUGCUAUUUUAUCUCUAUUUUAGUGAAUUUGUUUAGUUUCUUUUUCAUACGGCGUCCAUCUGCAAAAUUGUAAAUCUCUAAAUAAAUGCCGAAAAUAGGAAAACAGGCAACCAAUUAAGAACUCUAAACAUGAAAUCUCAAACAGAGCAACCGCAUGUAGAUAUACAAAAUGAAAACAGCAUUACAUUAAGCAAAAGUCAUCGCGUACUUUACAAUCCAAUACGAUGUUGUUUCAUCUUCAAACCCAUAUAUGAAGUCCAUCCAUUUGAACUUACAUGGAUUAGAACACAAAUUAAUUUAAAAUAUAGAAGAUUGUAUAACACAGUGAAUAAACACCAUGGCUAUAAUGACAUUCUAGUAGGUAACGAC
rnacentral:lncRNA from 1 species